ensembl:snoRNA LOC120100408 small nucleolar RNA SNORA48
CUCUCCAGGCAAUGGGCAAAGCCACACCUUGACUGGGAUGUUGUUCUUAUCUCAGUCAGGAGCAGAGCAGAUGGCAGUCCUUUGUUCAUCCUAGUUUGAUGUCUGACUUGAGGGCCAAGGCUAUCUUAUGCCUGGGACUCAUAA